rnacentral:lncRNA from 1 species
GUUUAGUUUUUAAAGAGCUCUGGUGCUAUUUAAAAAAAAUCGCUGUACUAAAUUUAUAUUCUAGCAACAGUAUGAAAGGGGUUCUUUCUUCCAUAUCCAUAUAGUCAGAGUACUAGCUACUUUUCAGUUUUCUAGUACUUGCCAUCCUAAUAACUGUGCUCAGGCUGCAGGAGGUCUUAUACUUGACUGGUGCACUAAAUUCCUGAUGCAAAUUUCCUAGAAUUCAGGCUGCCAAGUAGCCACUGGAAGAUAUUUUGAACCAUUUCUAGAAAUAAAUGAAAUAAACAGGGAUCUGUAGAUGGACUUUCUGGUGCAUGCCUAAAAUCCCCACAGCUGGGGAGGCUAAGGCAGGAGGAUUGCAAGUUCAAAGCCAGCCUAAGCAACUUAGCAAAGACCCUAAGCAGCUGAGCAUGACCCUUUCUCAAAAUAAAAAAUAAUAAAAGGACCAGGGACAUGAUUCAGUGGUAAAAUGCUCAUGGCUCACUUCCUGGUACAAAAUAACAACAGUGACACAAAACCAAACUAGGGACUUGUGAUUUUAACCCUUUUUCUUCACUCCUUGGGGGGAUUGUAGUCUAUGGAAGUGCAUGCACACCAAUGUGAAGCCACUCCUCUGUGAUGUAGGGAGAUACACACACAAUUGCUAUCUCUCCCAAAAUUUGGGGGCUUGAGAUGUAGUCCAUUGAAUGGAAUGAGUUAAAGUUGGGGUAUUUGGUACAUGGUCCGAUUUCUUAGAGAAAGAAUUGGCAGGCCUUGCGUUUCUACUGAGGAGCUGGAGGAAUGGGUGCAGGAAGUGCUGCACUCCCACUUGGGCUUCCUGUGGUGAACUGUGUUUCCCUGUUAACUCUGGGGCUGGCCACAUAGAAGCUCAGCUGUUAGCAACAGCAGUUUGCAGAGUUUGUUGGCAAAUCCCUUCUAGGGAUAAAUUGGGACCCUGGAGAUUUAACUCUUCCUCUGCUCUCAUCCCAGGGAGUGAAGCCCAGGGAUUGUGGAUAGCCAUAGAAAACCACCAUUUUUUCCUCUGCUCUCAAUAAUUGUGUCUAUCUAGUUCCUUUCUCUCUGAGCACCAGAUAAAUUAAGAUCCAAACUUACAAGCGAUUUACAGUUAAAUAUACUAUAUUUAUGACCCCAAUCUUCUCUGCUCAGGGUGACACUGGAUUUGGGGUAUUCUGUCUCGAUUAUAUGCAGAUGGCUUAAGGCAGGAAUCAUACUUAAAUGUGCCCCAAAUUUUCCUGCUUAUCUGAUGGUAGAUAUUUUCUCAGUUGUCCACUGUAUAUAAGUUUCUGAACUCAUAAUUUAUGAGUCUGUUUAAGAGGGUCUCCAAACAGGAACAGAUGUUUUGAGAGUCAAGAUAGAGAUUCAGGGCCACUUAUUCUGCUCUAUUUUGAAUAUCAUCCUACUUAACAUCUGCUUUGGGGGGGUACUGUGCCAUAAUCUCAGAGCUAUACCCAUGCUGCACACAGACUGCCAGUGAUCUUUGCCUCCAGUUCUAACAUCUACCUUUAGGUUGGGUUGUGUCAGUCAUUCACACUAAAUACUUUCCUUGAUGGAGUUGGAUGUAUGUAGGGCCUUCCAUUGCAUUUAACAAUACAAAUGAUAUUUAUGUACAUAUGUAUUUAUCUAUGGAAUUUCUGUGAUUCUGAGUCUUUAUUUUUGCAAUACUGUAGUUUAAUACUAUAUAUUAGUGUCAGGUAAUGAUAUCUGCUUCUUUUCCUCUUACAGUUCAGAGAUCUCUUGACUAGUUUAAUAUAUAUUUAACUUUCCAGAAGAAUUUUAGAACUCUUUGCUUUGGUCACUUCUUCAAUUAAAACAAAACAUGCUGAAAUUUUUCUUGGGGGGUGGAACUUUUUUAUUCUAUAUUUUUUAUUUAUUCUGAUUAGUUGUACAUGAGAACAGAAUGUAUUCUGACACAUUGUACACAAUUGGGGCACAAAUGCUCUUUCCUCUGGCUGUACAUGAUGCAGAGUUACAUUAGUUGUGCAAUCAUACAUGUAUCUAGGGAAAUAAAAUCCAUCUAAUUCCACAUCCUGCCAGCCUGCCACAUCUUCUUCUGCCACUUUCCAUGUUCUGUACAUCUUUUCUAUGUGUUAAAUUUCCUAAGUUACGAGAAGCUUGUAUACAUAAUAAAGUGUUUUCCUAUAUUCUGAAUAGUUAUAUCAGAUUAUUCAAGAUUUUAGGUAGUUGUAGGUCCCCCAAUUUAUAGAAAGUGGAUAAGAG